rnacentral:rRNA from 1 species
UACGUAGGAAGCAAGCGUUGUCCGGAAUCACUGGGCGUAAAGCGCGUGUAGGCGGUAUGGCAAGUCUGCUGUGAAAGCUCUCGGCUUAACCGGGAGAGGUCGGUGGAAACUGCCACACUGGAGGACGGUAGAGGGGGGUGGAAUUCCCGGUGUAGUGGUGAAAUGCGUAGAGAUCGGGAGGAACACCGGUGGCGAAGGCGGCCCCCUGGGCCGGCCCUGACGCUGAGACGCGAAAGCGCGGGGAGCGAACGGG